rnacentral:sRNA from 1 species
CCGUUUGUUUCUCUCUCUCUCUCUAUCUAUCUCAAUUUGUGUGGUCCUCGAGCCCAACACCAUGAGUGCAUUUCUGCAUUGCAUCAUUUCUCUCUAGAAUGAAAAAUAGCUCUCCUCUCUCAUUUUCUCACCCCUGUCUCUUAUUUUGCUCUAAUCCUAACUACACCUCAACACUCUCUCGUCUAUGCACAACCCAAAGCCAAGGAGUUUCUGCCAUGAAAUGAAGGCAUAUCUAAGCUCCAUAUUGUCUCUUCCAGACCCCAGUCCUCACAAAGGGGUCCUGGAAGCGACAGUGAUAGCAAAGAUGAAGAACAUGAAGGACAUCAAACCUGAGAUCCGGUGGACAAGAAACCGGUGGAUUUCACGAGAUGCUCAAAUUCAGAAUUAAAAAGCCUUUGUGGAAAAAAUGCUGGUGGCACACAAAACUGGGUAGCGAUAAGUUCAGGUGCAGGAUCAGCUAUUUUCUCCUUUGGGCAUGAAUAACAGGCAAAUGGGUCCUCCGUUCCUGCACCAACCUCUUGAUCAUCAUAGCUUCUCCCACAAUUUACUGCUUGAAUUUGAAAUCCUUGAUUGGUUAUUUCUAUGUACAAAUCAGUUGAUUCCAACAAUUUAGAGAGUUUGUCCUCCACCGAAAACUCUUGUGGCACAUUAAGCUACUCAAAAUACUGCUCAAGAUGCUCUUUCAAACUUUGAGUAUAGAUCUUUGAAUAGGGAUUAUUCCAGUUCCAUUUUGAAUCGUUUCUUAUAUUUAUAUACUCCUGG